rnacentral:rRNA from 1 species
GAUCAACGCUGGCGGCGUGCCUAAAACAUGCAAGUCGAACGGCACCUUCGGGUGCAGUGGCGGACGGCUGAGUAACACGUGGGCGACCUGCCCACCGGUGGGGGACAACCUUCCGAACGGAGGGCUAAGACCGCAUGCGACCGCUCAUUCAGUUGAGUGGGGAAACAGCGAUGUGCCGGUGGAGGGGCCCGGCGGCCGAUUAGCUAGCUGGUGGGGUAACGGCCUACCAGGGCGACGAUCGGUAGCCGGUCUGAGAGGAUGAUCGGCCAGACUGGGACUGAGACACGG